AGAAUAAGUAAACGUUUUUUUUUUCUAUUUAUAAAUUUACUCUAAACAGCCCCCCAGAUUAAUGUACCUUAGUCCCUGCUGCAAGUCUGCUCUGGUUCCAGCGUUGUCAGCAGCUUCUUUCCCCUUCUUCCUGGUGCAGAGUGAAGCCCCACCCCUAAGCUUGCUGAGCUCUCCUUAUCUCUCUGACUAGUCGGAGAGAUCAUUUGCAUGCUGUGUCAUAGCAGGGAGGAAGGCAGAGCCAGUGUGUGCAGGAGCUGCUUUUUUUUUUUUCUCCUCACAUGCACUCCCUGCUCGUUCUGGUUCAUUCCAGAUCACAGCAGCACUGGGAGGAAGAGCUGGAAGACUUCUCUGAUACUGCUAAUGCACUGUAGGUCUUUAUUUUUCCCAAGGAUAAUUUUUCAAAAUAGCUGGUAAGUAAUACUGUGGCUGUAAUACUGUGGCUGUAUCUAUAGCCGUCUUUGGGGUAACUACCCGAUCCCAAGUACAGAGUCUCAUCAGGAGCCUCUAACCCUGGCUCCCUCGACCAUUAAUUUGUGCAAGUGCAACAAAAAAAAAGAAAAAAAAUUUCUGGGCUGGUGUCAGAUUUACAAGAUAUAAAAUGCAGUUCCCCUUUAGAUGAUCAGUGACACAACUGUAUAUGUAAGCAUGUGUAUAACAUGGCUAUUGUAUAUUACAGGCAGAAUGGAUUACUUACACAGACACGUGAGUAACUGCUAGCACUUCAGCUGUCAGACUCUCAACCCCAUCAUGCAGGUACAAUCUGCUGUUAAUUCUAAGGAAAGGUAGCACCCUGUGCCCGUUGUCCCUCUGGCAGAAAUUCCCCACUGAUGACCCCGGGCUCUGUGGUAAUUAAUGGCCACAAGUUUGUUGUUAAUAAAACUCCAACUACAUCGAGCCCAAAUUCGCACCCUACGAAGAGUAUUCUCAAAAUAACUACUUGCGCAACCAGUCCCCAGAAUACUACGAGCGGCCGAGGGAGCCCGGGUUAGAAGCUCCUGCUGAGACUCUGUACUUGGGAGCGGAUAGUUACCCCAAAGACGGCUAUAGAUACAGCCACAUUGCUCCGCCGAGCCAAGAAUCUUCUACAAAAGUCCAGGAUCAUGGGAUCUCUCCAAAGGGGCGCAGUCAAUCUCUGCCGCAACUUGUCCAAAGCCACGUUCCCAGGCAGCCUCCCCAGCACUGUGAUUCCUCGUAGCCUUUAAAUUAACCUUUAGUAUAACGUAGACGUAGAGUGUGAAAUUCAGAGAAGAUUUGCAAUUGGUUUUUGAAUUUUAUUAUUUAUGGUUUUUUAGUUAUUUAGCUUUUUAUUCAGAAGCUCUCUAGUUUGCAGUUUCAGCAAUCUGGUUGAUAGGCUCCAAAUUACCCUAGCAACCAUGCAUUAGUUUGAAUAAGUGACUGGAAUAUGAAUAAGAGAGGGUCCAGAUAUAAAGAUGAGUAAUACAAAGUAGGAAUAACAAUACAUUUGUAGCUUUACAGAUCAAAUCCGAAAUUUUACAGAGGAAAUUCAAAGAAGAUUUGUCACUGGGCUUUCAUACACAUGCCGAUAAUCAGUCCAGUCUGGCAGAUUCAGGGAGACUUAGUCGCCUGUCGACUAAUCGCCUCUUCUGCGUGGCGACAAACUCCUCCGAACUCCCUUCCAUAUGCUUGAAUGAAAAAACGCCUGCGCUAAUACACUCGCGGUGCGUCGAUUUCCGAACUUGCCUCACAAGGAAACUUUGGGUGACUUCGGAAAUCGAAGCGACGCGAGUGUAUUAGCGCAGGCGUUUCUUCAUUCAAGCAGACAGAAGGCAGAUGGAAGACGGAAAUGCCUCCCCGCCUGCUAGAGUGUAAAUUGCCUAUGAGUGACACUCUUUAACACUUAGGGUAAGGGCACACGGGUAGAUUUGGGGAGAUUUAGUUGCGUGGUGACUAAUCGCCCCUUCUUCGGGGCGACAAUCUACCCGAACUGCCUUCCCCUAUCUUCCCACUUGCUAUACUAAAAAAAUCGCCAGUGGGAUGCCACUCGCAGUGCUUCAGUUUCCGAAGUUGUCUCACGAGGAAACUUUGGGAGACUUCAGAAAAUGAAGCUCCUUGAGUGCCAUCCCACUGGUGAUUUUUCAGUGUAGCCGGCUGGAACAUAGGGCAAGGCAAGUUGGGGAGAUUGUCGACCCAAAGAAGAGGCAAAUAGUGCCAGGCGACUAAAUCUCCUCGAAUUUGCCCAUGUGCCCUUACCCUUAGUUUCCCGAAGUUGCCUCACUUGGAAACUUCAGUCGACUUUGGAAACUGAAGUGUUCCGAGUGCCAUCCCACAGGCGAUUUACACUCUAGCUGGCGGGGAGGCAGUUUGUGGAGAUUAUUCGCCCGAAGAAAAAACAAUUUGUCAAUGUGUUGUGGAGUUCUACCCUAAAACACCAACCAAUAAAAAUUAAAACCAAUUAGAAAA